rnacentral:rRNA from 1 species
GACGAACGCUGGCGGCGUGCUUAACACAUGCAAGUCGAACGGAAAGGCCCUGCUUUUGUGGGGUGCUCGAGUGGCGAACGGGUGGGUAACACGUGAGUAACCUGCCCUUGACUUUGGGAUAACUUCAGGAAACUGGGGCUAAUACCAGAUAGGAGCUCCUGCUGCAUGGUGGGGGUUGGAAAGUUUCGGCGGUUGGGGAUGGACUCGCGGCUUAUCAGCUUGUUGGUGGGGUAGUGGCUUACCAAGGCUUUGACGGGUAGCCGGCCUGAGAGGGUGACCGGCCACAUUGGGACUGAGAUACGGCCCAGACUCCUACGGGAGGCAGCAGUGGGGAAUAUUGCACAAUGGGCGGAAGCCUGAUGCAGCAACGCCGCGUGCGGGAUGACGGCCUUCGGGUUGUAAACCGCUUUCGCCUGUGACGAAGCGUGAGUGACGGUAAUGGGUAAAGAAGCACCGGCUAACUACGUG